rnacentral:rRNA from 1 species
GACGUAGGGCGCGAGCGUUGUCCGGAUUUAUUGGGCGUAAAGAGCUCGUAGGCGGCUUGUCGCGUCGAAUGUGAAAACUCGGGGCUCAACCCCGCGCUUGCAUUCGAUACGGGCAGGCUCGAGUUCGGUAGGGGAGACUGGAAUUCCUGGUGUAGCGGUGAAAUGCGCAGAUAUCAGGAGGAACACCGGUGGCGAAGGCGGGUCUCUGGGCCGAUACUGACGCUGAGGCGCGAAAGCUAGGGGAGCAAACAGG